rnacentral:rRNA from 1 species
GUAACGCGUACGAAACCUACCUUUAAGAGAGGGAUAGCCCUGGGAAACUGGGAGUAAUACCUCAUAGUAUUCAUUGACUGCAUGGUUGAUGGAUUAAAGCUGCGGCGCUUAAAGAUGGUCGUGCGUCUGAUUAGCUAGUUGGUAGGGUAACGGCCUACCAAGGCUACGAUCAGUAGGGGGCGUGAGAGCGUGGCCCCCCACACGGGUACUGAGACACGGACCCGACUCCUACGGGAGGCAGCAGUAAGGAAUAUUGGGCAAUGGACGCAAGUCUGACCCAGCCAUCCCGCGUGCAGGACGAAUGCCCUAUGGGUUGUAAACUGCUUUUGUUUGGGAAGAAAUGUAUUCUUUUAAGAGUAUUUGACGGUACCAGACGAAUAAGCACCGGCUAACUCCGUGCCAGCAGCCGCGGUAAUACGGAGGGCGCAAGCGUUAUCCGGAAUCACUGGGUUUAAAGGGUGCGUGGGCGGCCAGAUAAGUCAGAGGUGAAAGUUUCCGGCUCAACCGGGAGAUUGCCUUUGAUACUGUUUGGCUUGAAUCAGAUUGAGGUUGGCGGAAUGUGACAUGUAGCGGUGAAAUGCAUAGAUAUGUCAUAGAACAUCGAUUGCGAAGGCAGCUGGCUGGAUCUGUAUUGACGCUGAGGCA